AUGGCAGAAAGCCCAGCUAAGAUACAUAUUGCCAGGUUGGUAGUAAGCUAUGUAGUCUGUUGUUCAAGCUGUGUGCGUUGUAUUGUGCUUUUCAGUGCAGUUGCCAAGGCUGUGGUCUUUCCAUUACAAACUGACAGUUUCUUCAUGAUCCUAAUACUUCUUCCAGGAGCACAAAUUGGCACAAUUUCUAAUAUUGACCCUUUUUUAUCUUCUCCUUCUCUGCUUUUCUGCCCUGAGCAAAACAAAAAUUCCAUCUUCGCUCACAUUUGCUUGUUCACAGCCUGGGGGGGGGUAGUAACAGCAGCCUUCUCUGCCUCGUCAGGUGGCAUGGAAGGGACAGGCCAGAGGACAGAGCGCUGGUCAGCCCCCGGGAUCACCAAGGCACCAGUCACUACGACAACGGCAAGAGGAGCCCAGCAACGCCCACCAGCCUGCAAGCCAAAAUCUGCAACCUCAUCAGCAGCGCCACUGACACAGAAGGGGUGUACGUCUUCCUGGAUGACCUCCUUUUGACAGAUGUGUGUAUGUUUGCACUGGACAAGAUCUGAGCUGAUGCCCAGUGCUAUCUGGACAGAAACCGAGUCAAACUUGUGUGACUUUGUAGGGUGCUAUGAGCUGAGCACAUGGCCCUCUGCUGGGCAGGGGACUGGCUGGAGCAGAAAGUCCUCAGCUCCACCUUCACCUGGACUGGAGCAGAAAGCCCUCAGCUCCACCAUCACCUGGACUGGAGCAGAAAGCCCUCAGCUCCACCUUCACCUGGACUGGAGCAAAAAGCCCUAGAGCUCCACCAUCACCUGGACUUGAACAGAAAGUCCUCAGCUUCACCUUCACCUGGACUGGAGCAGAAAGCCCUGGAGCUCCACCAUCGCCUGGACUGGAGCAGAAAGUCCUCAGCUUCACCUUCACCUGUACUGGAGCAGAAAGCUCUGGAGCUCCACCAUCACCUGUACUGGAGCAGAAAGCCUGGGAUCUGACACUGACAGAUCUACAACAACCACAACAGGGCUAAAGGACAGAAAACAUCUUUCUUUAGAUUUACUGUCCAAAAUAUUAGGAGACCCAGAACGGAUUGAGGGAUGGCCCUCUCAGAACUCAAAGAAUGGCUUGAAGGGGGCGUGGCGGGUGGUCCUCAAGGUUAGGAAAUAUUUGCAUCCCAAUUGCACCCCACCUUUGGGGCAGGAAAGUCCUUGGUAGAGAUUGUGAUGAAGUCCAUGGCACUGCACUGCCCACUCUGCUAGCUUUGGUGGUGGUCAAAAGGAAUGACAUCGGGGCGUUGUCAUGAUUAAGAAAGGUGAAAGAAAUUACCUGCCACUGGUUUCUUGAAUUGAUUUGGGGUUCCUGACAGUUUAGCCAAUGUGUAUGUGUCACAGAGACAUUGAUAAGGAAUUAAAAGGCUGCCAAGGGAGCAGCAGCUGCACAACAAGUGCCUUCCUUUUUCUUAACCUUCUUUAAAUCAGGUGGAACGACGGAGAUGUGAACUGCAGAUUGGAAAUUUGUUUCCAAACCAGAAACAUUUGCUUACCUAUUUUUUUAUGCCGAUACUUUUAUCCAAAGCAACUUACAUUUACUACCAUUUACAGAACAGAGUGUUUAGCUGGAAAAAUUUGGGAACGGCGCCUUGCUCGGGGGUACAACAGCAGUGUCGCCCCACAGCCUUCCAGUAACAAGUGCAGAACCCUGACCACUGCCCCCACUGCUGCUUUAACACAAAGGAAGGUGGUGAAGAGAGAGGGAAAGGGAUUUGAUGAUGAUAUUAUAUGUGUAUAAUAUUCUUAACAUGCCACACAAUACCAUACUGAAAUGGGCAAUUUUAAUAACGAGAAAUUUCCCUUGCUGAACCCGGGAGGUUAGGCAGACAUGUGAAAAUAUAUUCCAAUGGUGCCUUACACAUUGUUGCUCUCUGUAUGCUGUGUUCGGCAGUUAAAUACAUAAGGUAACACAUGAGAAGAUGCUGUCUGGGUCAUCUUGCUUGUUCAGUGGAUUGAUUCUAGGAUCUUAUCAAGCAAUUUUUCAAAGUAUCCUGUGUUUUCAUCUUUAACACUGCAGGAUAAUCAGGAACUUGGCUAGGUAUGGGGUUUGACUACAACUAUAGGACAUCGCUAUCUCUCUUUGUAAAUCUGUACUUUCCCAACCUGCUAAAUUCUUGACAAUGUUGCUUUGCAUAUUUAUUUCUGAGUUCCUUUGGAUGCUGCGGCAUUGCAGAAUAGCUGUAGACAAAUACGAUGACGGUCACCUGCUGUCACGCUGUCUGACGAACACGGUCAGGAACACAGCGACAGCGACUGCCGUCCAUGGCAGGAGAUAGGAAUGAGUGAGCCCAGAUCCUGGAGGAGAAGAAAUGAUGUUGUGCCACUGACAGCAGCUCAGCAGGGGAGGUGUCUGGAAAUCCAAGUAUGGAAGAGAAAAUAAAGUUUUUCCUUUAGAUUAUCCAUCAUUUAUUCUUAUAUUACAUAUUUUUAUUGUGAACUUUAACACAACUGCAAAGCUUUUCUUUUUGUUGUUCUUGUUAUUUUUUGUUAUGACUUCAGUUAAUUAAACUGCCUUGUCCAGUUUAUGUUAAAAUACAUAAAGCGUUUCUGUUAAUACAGCAAUAUGUAAAGAAUUCAGGCACACCUGAAGAAGGCUCCACGGCCAAAACGUUGUGUUCUCUUUCUUCUUUUUUUCAGCAUGGAAUAAACCUAUUACUUGUUCCAAUAUGUAAAGAGUUCAUUCUCACACACUGAAUAAACAGUUUGAUAUAAUAUGGAUUUUAAAUCCAUACCAGUUAUUAUAAGUUCACAAGAAUGUAGAAUCUUUCUUUUUAUUCUGACUUGAAAGUUCCCAUUAAUAUUUUAGCUGUAAAAUAAUUUAUUGAAAUGUUUCUGAGGAAUGUGGUCUUGAAGUCUGCAGCAAAUGAACAGUUCAAAGAAUAAAAAUGCUUUUAAUUUGCCUUUGGAUGUAACUUGGAGUUGCUUGUAGUUGUAGUUGAACUUCUUAUUUGUACUCAUUUGUAUUUUAUAUGAUUUAAAUAAAAAUAAAACGAUCAACAU
rnacentral:lncRNA from 1 species